UACGAAGGGGGGCUAGCGUUGCUCGGAAUUACUGGGCGUAAAGCGCACGUAGGCGGAUUGUUAAGUCGGGGGUGAAAUCCUGGAGCUCAACUCCAGAACUGCCUUCGAUACUGGCGAUCUCGAGUCCGGGAGAGGUGAGUGGAACUGCGAGUGUAGAGGUGAAAUUCGUAGAUAUUCGCAAGAACACCAGUGGCGAAGGCGGCUCACUGGCCCGGUACUGACGCUGAGGUGCGAAAGCGUGGGGAG
rnacentral:rRNA from 1 species